rnacentral:sRNA from 1 species
GGGGCCGCGCGCCGGGGAACCUGUGGCGCCGGGGGGCUCGCAGCCUCGCGCCUCUCCAGCCCCUCCACGCAGCCUCGGGCCUCGGGGCAGAGCCCUGGGUGGCUUUGAAAGGCCUGUCUGUUCGCUGUCGCCUUCUAAGAAGUUGGUGAGAUGGCAAAGCAGUAUAUAGAGAAAAGUCUUUUGGUUCCAGACCAUGUGAUCACACGCCUAAUGAUGUCCGAGUUGGAGAAUAGGCGUGGCCAGCACUGGCUCCUUGAUGGUUUUCCUAGGACAUUAGGACAAGCCGAAGCCCUGAACAAAAUCUGUGAAGUGGAUCUAGUGAUCAGUUUGAAUAUUCCAUUUGAAACACUUAAAGAUCGUCUCAGCCGCCGUUGGAUUCACCCUCCUAGCGGAAGGGUAUAUAACCUGGACUUCAAUCCACCUCAUGUACAUGGUAUUGAUGACGUCACUGGUGAACCAUUAGUCCAGCAGGAGGAUGAUAAACCCGAAGCAGUUGCUGCCAGGCUAAGACAGUACAAAGACGUGGCAAAGCCAGUCAUUGAAUUAUACAAGAGCCGAGGAGUGCUCCACCAAUUUUCCGGAACGGAGACGAACAAAAUCUGGCCCUACGUUUACACACUUUUCUCAAACAAGAUCACACCUAUUCAGUCCAAAGAAGCAUAUUGACCCUGCCCAAUGGAAGAACCAGGAAGAUGUGGUCAUUCAUUCAAUAGUGUGUGUAGUAUUGGUGCUGUGUCCAAAUUAGAAGCUAGCUGAGGUAGCUUGCAGCAUCUUUUCUAGUUGAAAUGGUGAACUGAUAGGAAAACAAAUGAGUAGAAAGAGUUCAUGAAGAAGCCCUCCUCUGCCUUUCAAAAGGGUGGUCACCUACACAUGUUUAAGGUGUCUCUGCACAUGUCUCAAGCCCAUCACAAGAAAGCAAGUACAGUGU